CCUGCACAGGCCCCGUCUUCCCUCUGGUCUGUCCACUGUGGGCGUGUCCCGAACACUGAAGUCCACGCCCUCAGAGACGUUUACUCGGAAUGAAGCCCAGGACGCUGGAGCUGUGUAUUUUACAAAGCUUUAUUCAGAUCAUUUUCCUCUGCAAUAUUUACAGCAUAAGUUACUGAGACAUCUUUCUGGCAUCCUGAAAGAGAAUCGGUCUUUAGCAUGCGCUCGUAUCCGGAAAAUCAGCACACCAAGGUUUUUGCAUAUUUUUAUUGCAUUAGUCACUGUGUGAGGACUCAAAGUUUAAAUAUGAAAAAACCCAGAAGAUGUGGCUUCAAAUGAGGAUUAGUGUUAAUGUGUAGUAAAAUGUGUGCAGCGUUUCAGGCAGCGUGGAAUCUCCGAGCAGUGAGUCAUGGACCAGUGGCGAGUCUCGGACGGAGGAGCGAGAGAGUCUCAGAUGGAGGAGCGCGUCUCGGAGCGGUGACGGGGUCUGACGCCCAGCUGAGUCUCGGAAAGAUGAGAGUCCCAGAUAAGCGAGGAGUCUCAGAGCAGUGAGUGAGUGAGCGAAUCAGGUCAGUGAAUCAGAGCAGUGAGUGAGUGAGCGAAUCAGGUCAGUGAGUGAGCGAAUCAGAGCAGUGAGUGAGUGAGCGAAUCAGGUCAGUGAGUGAGCGAGCGAAUCAGGUCAGUGAGUGAGCGAGCGAAUCAGGUCAGUGAGUGAGCGAGCGAAUCAGGUCAGUGAGUGAGCGAGCGAAUCAGGUCAGUGAAUCAGAGCAGUGAGUGAGCGAAUCAGGUCAGUGAAUCAGGUCAGUGAAUCAGGUCAGUGAAUCAGGUCAGUGAAUCAGAGCAGUGAAUCAGAGCAGUGAAUCAGAGCAGUGAGUGAGUGAAUCAGGUCAGUGAAUCAGAGCAGUGAGUGAGUGAAUCAGGUCAGUGUAUCAGAGCAGUGAGUGAGAGCAUCUCGAGAAUGAGUCUCAGUACACAGACGUGUUUGAGUACUGAAUCAGUUCAGUGGUCGGAACUCGGUGUGGCGGUACACGAGUCUAUAAUGACCAAAAUAUCUUCAAAUGAAAGCCCUGUUCACACCGGGACGUCUUUCACAGCGCAUUAAACGGUCCGUUUAACGCUCCGAUGGCUGUCGGUGAGAGAGUUCACACGCGUAAAAAGCGUUGCGUCAGAGCGCCAGAUUGUUUUUAACAUCGACGUGUUUGUUUAUUGGGGUUUUGUUUUUAUGUGCCGACUUGGACUUGGAGUUCAAGUACAAAACUGUCUGAAUGAAGAAGCAGCAGCAGCAGCACCCAUCAUUUCUGUAAGAGUGCAUGUGACACAAAAUAAAAUGCUCAGUGCUAAUAAAUCCUUCCGCGUGCACACACGCACACACACACGCAGUCCUGUCACCAGAGUCACGAUUACACACUAAGUGUUAGCACAGUGCUGUUUAUUAAUUGCCUGUAACUUUAAUGAUCGAGUAGCAACACAAUGGAGCUAAAGCCUGGAGUCGAGUUUCUAGUCCAAACUGAUGUUUAUUCUCGACUCGUUGAUGUGGUGGUUAUUUUUGUGACGAGACUGAAAUGCAGGAAUAUAUUCUAAAUAUUCUAAAUAUUCUAAAUGAUCCGUUUAAUUCUUUCAGUUUUAUUUUCUACAUUAAUUAGCAUUGUUUCUUUGUCUGUUCCCUGCAAAUAAUAAUCUGCUGAUUGAUCCGUUGUGUUUAUUCUGCACCUGGCAUACAGGUGCAUUUAAAAAAAUGUGAAUAUUGUGGAAAUCUUUUUUUUUUUUCUUCUGUAAUUUAAUUUUAAAAAGGAACUUUCAUACAUUCUAGAUAUAUUUCUUCUUUUUGUUUUAUUACAGCUCACGGAAAUCAAAUCCAGCAUCUCCAAAAAAAUGUGAUUUAAAAAAUGUAAAUCCCAUAAAUUUGUGAAUGCUAUUGUAAAGUUGUGCAGCGCCACCUUGUGUACCGGGGGUAUUUCUGCUUUUCAAUAAGCGCCAUCUGCUGUCAGGGAGUGAAUUGACGCUUUCUUUCAGCGCGGCGCUCGUGUUUCACGCCCGCCUGUGAACACCAAACCCGGCACGGAGAAACGGACCGGUGUGAACACGCCCUAAAUGUCGUGACUCGUUUAAGCACUGGAAGUUAUCACGCCGCUUUACCCAUGAUGCAGAGCGAGAGAAUCGGACAGACCCUGAUGUAGCUGUAACGAGGACGAGGUUCUACGCCCUGCGAGGGUUCAUGAUCGGAGAGGAAGGCUCGGUUCUGACCCGGGCCGGUCCACUCGUCCUGACUCGCUGCUCUACAGAGAUCCUGCACUCUGAAUAAACACGCCGGAAAUCAACAGAAAUAACAACACAGGAGAUAUAAAUAAAAACAUUCUCUAAACCCAUUCGAAUGUUCAGUUAUUAGCGGCGAACGACUGAACAAUUAGAACUGUAAAGGAACCGUUUGGAUAAAGAUGAAACCCAGCAGCGUUUGAGGUCGUGUUUCCUCCCAAACCACCCCGAGUGGCCAUGUGCCGAUAUCUCACUUCGCUCCACUUCACUGCGUUCUGCAGAAGAUAUAAAGCUGUUCCUCUGCUAGAUUUACAGUAAGUGUUCAAAUAUAUGAAAUACAAUAAAUAAUACAGUAUAUAAUUACAUAAACAGAUACAUCUGACAUAUUUACUAGAAUUAAACAACCUAAUUAAAUGAAUAUGAAUUAAUAUUAAUAAUAAUUUCUGAAUUAAUACAAUAAGAAACGAUGCUUUAGUAAUCGGACGUUUUCUCCCCCAAACAUUUGACACAUUUAUUGUAUUUCAUAUGUGAUUUAAAACGAACAAAAAUACAAACAUCCACUUUAUUUAGGCUUUCUUAAUAAUUUUAUACAUAAAUAAUUUUUAAUUUUAUACAUUAACCCCGCCCCCUAAAAGGUUAGAUAGAGAAUUAAACAUGACUUUGUUCUUUACUGGUUUCAUGUUCCUUCGAUUUUCUGUGUUCAUUUAUUUAAGGACUCAGAGCAGGAUUCUGUCUAUGAAAGGAAGAGACAGUGUGAAUAUAAUAAUGAUGAUAACAGUAAUAAGCGGUGGGUAAAGCGUCAUGCUGGGACAGUUUGGGGUUUGAAUAUCAGCACAUGGCCACGCUGAUCAUCUCCCGCAUCACCUCUAACAAUUCAUCUUCAUCACCUCCUUCCUGAAUGAAGGAGGAACGUGCAGGACACGAGGGCACCCCCGUGUGUGUGUGUGUGUGCGUGUGUGUGUGCGUGUAUGUGCGUGUGCGUGUGUGUUUCUGUCUCUCGGCUGAAGCGUAUGGUUCUGCUGGAAGACGUGUGCAGCUGUUCUGAUGGUUUGUGUCAGCGUGUAGAUCAUCAGCCUGAGAAGAACGAGAGGAGAACAGUGAUGUAGAAACGCCGCCGAGCUCCGGGAGAAGAAUUCAUCACCGUCAUCAUCACCAUCAUAAUCGUCAUCAUUAUUGUAACGCCAGGACAAUUUGUUCCUUCAACUAAGAUUUAUUUAUAUAUCUAAACAUAUAUUUAAUACUUUUCUGUUUCGGAUUAUUUUUUUUUAAUUGUUUUAUUUUUUUGUAAACAAAUCCAAACUGAUACUAUUAUUAUUAUUAUUAUUAUUAUUAUUAUUAUUAUUACAGAAUUGACUUGAAGGCAACAAAUGAAUGUGAAACUAUAUUUUCACUAAACAAUAAAGAACACGUGUUUAGAAUAAAAAAGAAGAUUAAUCAGAUUAAAG
ensembl:lncRNA